rnacentral:rRNA from 1 species
CGUUAACACAUGCAAGUCGAGCGGAUGAAGGGAGCUUGCUCCCUGAUUCAGCGGCGGACGGGUGAGUAAUGCCUAGGAAUCUGCCUGGUAGUGGGGGACAACGUUUCGAAAGGAACGCUAAUACCGCAUACGUCCUACGGGAGAAAGCAGGGGACCUUCGGGCUUUGCGCUAUCAGAUGAGCCUAGGUCGGAUUAGCUAGUUGGUGAGGUAAUGGCUCACCAAGGCUGCGAUCCGUAACUGGUCUGAGAGGAUGAUCAGUCACACUGGAACUGAGACACGGUCCAGACUCCUACGGGAGGCAGCAGUGGUGAAUAUUGGACAAUGGGCGAAAGCCUGAUCCAGCCAUGCCGCGUGUGUGAAGAAGGUCUUCGGAUUGUAAAGCACUUUAAGUUGGGAGGAAGGGCAUUAACCUAAUACGUUAGUGUUUUGACGUUACCGACAGAAUAAGCACCGGCUAACUUCGUGCCAGCAGCCGCGGUAAUACGAAGGGUGCAAGCGUUAAUCGGAAUUACUGGGCGUAAAGCGCGCGUAGGU